UUUUUUUCUUUUCUCCUCCUCCUUUCUUCUUUUUUGUUAGAAUAUUUAUGUAUUUAAGUAAUCUCUAUACCAGUUGUGGGGCUUGAACUCACGACCCCCGAGAUCAAGAGUUGCAUGCUCUUCCUACUGAGCCAGCCAGGUGCCCGCCUCCUUCUCUUAUUUAAGUAUUUGCUUUUCAGUCUAAGGAAGGAAACAUAUCUCCCUUUUACUGAUUUCAAGAUUAAAAAAGAAAAACCAGUGCUUCUGUCAAAUAGAACUGAACACUGCUGAAACAAAUGGACUGAAAAGGAGCAGUGAUUCUGUUGACCAGGAGUACCCCACAGAAUCGACAAUAAGAAGAGUGUGCUGCGGUGCCCACGAAGCAGUAAUGCUAAAAAGCUCCAUAGAUGCUGCUGACAGACAACACUGAAUAUUCUCACAGGACUAAGACUAUGACUCCUGUGGUCAGCAUGAGGACCGAGUUGGAGAGUGCUGGCUGUGAUGGACAGUGCAAAAUGAGGAGCAGGAAUAUUCCCGGGGACGCUGUCAUUCUCACUCAGUGUUUGCUUCACCGUCCUUUCCUGAGUGCUAAGGCUCUGCUCGUUACAGAACCGAGCGUCUCAAAGCACGGAAAUACGAUGCCUCCCUCUUAUCAAAAUUACAAUUGA
rnacentral:lncRNA from 1 species